rnacentral:rRNA from 1 species
UGAGGAACAUGACCUUCGGCGGGGGAUAGCCGGCCCAACGGCCGGGUAAUACCGCGUACGACCACUUUGGGACAUCCCUCGGUGGUGAAAGCAGCAAUGCGCCGAUGGAGUGCCUCGCGGCCUAUCAGCUUGUUGGUGAGGUAAUGGCUCACCAAGGCGACGACGGGUAGCCGGCCUGAGAGGGUGACCGGCCACACUGGGACUGAGACACGGCCCAGACUCCGUACGGGAGCAG